rnacentral:rRNA from 1 species
CCCUUAGAUGUUCUUGGCCGCACGCGCGCUACACUGACGAAGUCAGCGAGCAUGUCCUACGCCGACAGGUGCGGGGAAUCUUGUCAAACUUCGUCGUGAUGGGGAUUGAUUAUUGAAAUUCUUGAUCAUCAACGAGGAAUUCCUAGUAAGCGCAAGUCAGCAGCUUGCGUUGAUUACGUCCCUGCCCUUUGUACACACCGCCCGUCGCUACUACCGAUUGAAUGGUUUAGUGAGAUCUUCGGAUUGGCGCCACUGCGGCUCAGCAAUGGGCUCGGUGGAUGCCGAAAAGUUGAUCAAACUUGAUCAUUUAGAGGAAGUAAAAGUCGUAACA